CAAGUAUUUAAACCUUCUCCUUCUAGGGUGGAACUAUGCCAUUGACACUAGAGUAUAUAAACAAAUGGCUAUGCUGGCAAGAUAUCUAAAUCUAUAGCAACUGCAGAAAUUCAUCUUUGGGCUGGCGACCAAACUUCAAUCUUUCUGGGAUCCAUCAUCAAGCUGGAGUUCGGUAUGGUGAUGUGUCCACACUAGGGCUGUCACAUGAUUCAAGAAACGUUAGCCGCCAGUGACAGAUUGGCGGGAUCAUCUCGUACACAUGGAACAGGAUCAGAGGGAAGCAGAACGUACCCUUCUUUCCAGAGGAGAACCUAUGGAUUGAAAGCUGGGCUUUUCCUUGGACAGCAAAACAAAGGGAACUGACUUCUAAACAGGCAGUGAACUGGAGAGACCAAAUUCCCUGAUAAAACCAGAAACUCCUGGAAUGGGUCUUUGAAGAUGUUCCUCACUGGAUUGUUCUUGUAGAAAAUGUAAGUGUUGUAAGUUACUUUUCCCCUUAAAGUGCAGC